GGCAGCACGGGUGCUUGCACCUGGUGGCGAGUGGCGAACGGGUGAGUAAUGCGUCGGAACGUACCGAGUAAUGGGGGAUAACGCAGCGAAAGUUGUGCUAAUACCGCAUACGCCCUGAGGGGGAAAGUGGGGGACCGCAAGGCCUCACGUUAUUCGAGCGGCCGACGUCUGAUUAGCUAGUUGGUGGGGUAAAGGCCUACCAAGGCGACGAUCAGUAGCGGGUCUGAGAGGAUGAUCCGCCACACUGGGACUGAGACACGGCCCAGACUCCUACGGGAGGCAGCAGUGGGGAAUUUUGGACAAUGGGCGCAAGCCUGAUCCAGCCAUUCCGCGUGAGUGAAGAAGGCCUUCGGGUUGUAAAGCUCUUUCGGCAGGAACGAAACGGCGGGCUCUAACAUAGCCUGUUACUGACGGUACCUGCAGAAGAAGCACCGGCUAACUACGUGCCAGCAGCCGCGGUAAUACGUAGGGUGCGAGCGUUAAUCGGAAUUACUGGGCGUAAAGCGUGCGCAGGCGGAUUGUUAAGCAAGACGUGAAAUCCCCGGGCUUAACCUGGGAAUGGCGUUUUGAACUGGCAGUCUAGAGUGCGUCAGAGGGGGGUGGAAUUCCACGUGUAGCAGUGAAAUGCGUAGAGAUGUGGAGGAACACCGAUGGCGAAGGCAGCCCCCUGGGAUGACACUGACGCUCAUGUACGAAAGCGUGGGUAGCAAACAGGAUUAGAUACCCUGGUAGUCCACGCUGUAAACGAUG
rnacentral:rRNA from 1 species